rnacentral:ncRNA from 1 species
CUUCAGGGUCGGGUGAAAUUCCCAAUCGGCGGUAUACUCCGCGAGCCAUAAGGCAGGAACUGGUGAGAUUCCAGUAGCGACAGUUAAAGUCUGGAUGGAAGAAGGUU